AGGCUCCGUAAUUCGGCUGUUUCUGCGUGACCCACGAACAGAUUCACACCGGCGAGUCGCCAAACCCACCUAAAUACUUUCGAAAGCUUGCGAGAACCUCAAUAACCUUCAAAGAAAGAAAAAGAUCCGAAAGAAAUCACUCCCCCGCCAGUUAAUUCCCCCUGGAGAAAAUCCAGUUACAGAGAACUAAGGGCCUACGAGGAUCGGACACCGGCAAGCCGAUGAACAACCGGAAUCAACGACGACGACCCGUACCUUCCCGCAGGAAUUCGUCCGGUCAUCCAGCAACCCAUCAUUGCCGGGGAGCUUGACGAGUUGGGAGACCAACCAACCGCCAUGGAAGAGAAGAGAGAACCCAAUACCACCCUCCCCUGCCGCAAAUCCC
rnacentral:lncRNA from 1 species